rnacentral:rRNA from 1 species
UACGAAGGGAGCUAGCGUUGUUCGGAAUCACUGGGCGUAAAGCGCACGUAGGCGGAUGUGUCAGUCAGGGGUGAAAUCCCGGAGCUCAACUUCGGAACUGCCUUUGAUACAGCACAUCUGGAGUCCGGGAGAGGUGAGUGGAAUUCCCAGUGUAGCGGUGAAAUGCGUAGAUAUUGGGAGGAACACCAGUGGCGAAGGCGGCUCACUGGACCGGAACUGACGCUGAGGCGCGAAAGCGUGGGGAGCAAACAGG